AUUGAACGCUGGCGGCAGGCCUAACACAUGCAAGUCGAACGAGUGGCGGACGGGUGAGUAAUGUCUGGGAAACUGCCCGAGGGAGGGGGAUAACUACUGGAAACGGUAGCUAAUAACGCAUACCAUCGGAUGUGCCCAGAUGGGAUUAGCUAGUAGGUGGGGUAACGUCUCACCUAGGCGACGAUCCAUAGCUGGUCUGAGAGUAUGACCAGCCACACUGGAACUGAGACACGGUCCAGACUCCUACGGGAGGCAGCAGUGGGGAAUAUUGCACAAUGGGCGCAAGCCUGAUGCAGCCAUGCCGCGUGGAUGAAGAAGGCCUUCGGGUUGUAAAGUACUUUCAGCGAGGAGGCGUUACUCGCAGAAGAAGCACCGGCUAACUCCGUGCCAGCAGCCGCGGUAAUAC
rnacentral:rRNA from 1 species